rnacentral:pre_miRNA from 1 species
CAAAGAAUUCUCCUUUUGGGCUUUCUGGUUUUAUGUUAAGCCCAAAGGUGAAUUUUUUGGG